AAAACUGAUAUUUCGAAUGUUAGAAUGAUAGGGUAACGCCUUGAAAUGACUCAUUAAUACUCCGAUUAGCAUUUGUUGUGUAAUAAAUAAAUGUUAAAAGCUCGGUGAAGUCGGUUGAAAAUUACCGUAAAAGAUUUAUCUUACGAAAGCUAUCUAGAGGUAGAUGGUGUAAUUGAUAGGCCGGAUGUCUAUAAA
rnacentral:ncRNA from 1 species